GCGGGCUUGUUUACGGCCCGACUGCGCAGGCGUGCUCACCUGGCGUGCUCCACCCGGCUGGGCGUCCUCAGGCUCCUCCCCUGGGCGUGGCCUCCGGGCAGCCCGGCUGCUUCCCAGGUGAUGUCGGUUCCAGCCGGUGGGGUCUAGUUGACGGUUCCGCAGCCACCAGGACCAACGGAAAGCCGAUCAGGGGGAACCGCGGCGGGGCUGGUGUCAGGAGCCUGAGGUGAACUUGAGGGUGCCUCCUCAGCGGUCUCCCCCCCUGCCCUGAGGGGCGCCGGGACCCCAAAGAGCGGAGGAAGAGCGCCACCCCGACUGCCACCGCUUCGGGGCCAGCACGCGGGGUACCCUACAGGGAGCGCGGAUGCCCCUGUGUUCGGGCGGGGACGGCUCCACCCCUCCUGGGCCCUCCCUUCGGGACGGGGACUGUCCCGCCCAGAGAGAGUGCUGACUACCCGCGCGACCGUCUGGAUCCCCGGUCAGGAAGCAAGCCCCUUUGAAGCCUCCUUGCCGCCGUUUCUGAGAAGCAGGGCACCUGUUCACUGGUACCAAGAAAAGGCCCAAGUGUUUCCCUGGCAUCAGGUGGUGUCUGGAUCCACCACUCCACACUGUCUCUGGAAACAGCCCUUCCACGUCUCUGCAUUCCCUGUUACUGUGUUGCUGGCCUUCCGACGGAGCCAAGGUGCAUGGCAACACCUCUACGAGGAUCUGUAGCCAUUUAUGUUGCUUAGGCUACUGCCACAGGACAAAAGAAUGAAAGAGGAGAAAGCAGCAGGAGAGAGAAGUGAACCAAAUUUUGAAUGCUGGGAGCAGAUGGACAGGUGGUGACUGACCUUCCCUCAAGCAUCUCUGGAGCCACAGCCCCUAGCCGGCCA